GACGAACGCUGGCGGUGUGCCUAAUACAUGCAAGUAGAACGCACAGUUUAUACCGUAGCUUGCUACACCAUAGACUGUGAGUUGCGAACGGGUGAGUAACGCGUAGGUAACCUGCCUGAUAGCGGGGGAUAACUAUUGGAAACGAUAGCUAAUACCGCAUAAUAUUAAUUAUUGCAUGAUAAUUGAUUGAAAGGUGCAAAUGCAUCACUACCAGAUGGACCUGCGUUGUAUUAGCUAGUAGGUGAGGUAACGGCUCACCUAGGCGACGAUACAUAGCCGACCUGAGAGGGUGAUCGGCCACACUGGGACUGAGACACGGCCCAGACUCCUACGGGAGGCAGCAGUAGGGAAUCUUCGGCAAUGGACGAAAGUCUGACCGAGCAACGCCGCGUGAGUGAAGAAGGUUUUCGGAUCGUAAAGCUCUGUUGUAAGAGAAGAACGGGUGUGAGAGUGGAAAGUUCACACUGUGACGGUAUCUUACCAGAAAGGGACGGCUAACUACGUGCCAGCAGCCGCGGUAAUACGUAGGUCCCGAGCGUUGUCCGGAUUUAUUGGGCGUAAAGCGAGCGCAGGCGGUUAGAUAAGUCUGAAGUUAAAGGCUGUGGCUUAACCAUAGUACGCUUUGGAAACUGUUUAACUUGAGUGCAGAAGGGGAGAGUGGAAUUCCAUGUGUAGCGGUGAAAUGCGUAGAUAUAUGGAGGAACACCGGUGGCGAAAGCGGCUCUCUGGUCUGUAACUGACGCUGAGGCUCGAAAGCGUGGGGAGCGAACAGG
rnacentral:rRNA from 1 species